rnacentral:rRNA from 1 species
GAUGAACGCUGGCGGCGUGCUUAACACAUGCAAGUCGAACGGAAAGGCCAAGGUUUCCUGGGUACUCGAGUGGCGAACGGGGGAGUAACACGUUGGUGAUCUUCCCUGCACUUUGGGGUUAGCCUGGGGAACUGGGGCUAAUUCCGGAUAGGACCACAUUUUUGAUGGUGGGGUGGAAAGUUUUUCGGUGUGGGAUGAGCUCGCGGCCUAUCAGCUUGUUGGUGGGGUAAUGGCCUACCAAGGCGUCGACGGGUAGCCGGCCUGAGAGGGUGUACGGCCACAUUGGGACUGAGAUACGGCCCAGACUCCUACGCGAGGCAGCAGUGGGGAAUAUUGCACAAUGGGCGCAAGCCUGAUGCAGCGACGCCGCGUGGGGGAUGACGGCCUUCGGGUUGUAAACUCCUUUCGCUAGGGACGAAGCGCAAGUGACGGUACCUGGAGAAGAAGCACCGGCUAACUACGUG